CCUCGCUUCCUCCUUCUUUGCCCUUUGCUUCCUCCUCGCUUAAAGAGGUUCCUCAGAGCCACAGAAGGUUCUGGAGAUCAAAGAGGUUCCUCAGAGCCACAGAAGGUUCCGGAGAUCAAAGAGGUUCCUCAGAGCCACAAGAGGUUCUUGGAGGUCAAAAAGGUUCUUGGAGGAAGAAGAGGUCCUUUGGAGCUCAAAGAGGUUCUUUGGAGCUCAAAGAGGUUCUUGG